UAUGUUUUUAUUUGUGUCUAGAGUUCUGUUGUGAUAUCUUCUCGUGAGUUUUUGAGCUUGGUCAUACACAUUUGCGUGUAUGAUUAGUGUACGAUCAAAUUGAGGGCGUCACAUCUUGCUACUUCUUGAGAUUGCGUUGGUUUUUCCUCGAAGAGGAAAGGGUGAUGCAACAAAGUAUAUAACUAUUUCCCUCGGUUUGUUGAGAACCUAUGUAUCAAUCCAGUAGGAGGAACAAGCAAGG
rnacentral:lncRNA from 1 species